GUAUACUCAGUGCUCUAAGAAAUCUUAAUAUGGGGAAAGAACUGUUCCACUGUGUUUAAUCCAAUAUUUCUCUCAUUUAGUCAUCAAAGUUUUUUUGUCACUUAACACCUAUUACGUUCCCAAAAUGAUGGUUUUAGAGUUCAUGCUGGGAGACACUGGGGUAAAUAUUCUCAGGACAUUGUCAGCUGUAAAAUCCUCAUUCUAUUCUACACUUUUCAAUUUUUUUUUUUUUUUUGACAGGCCUGGGCUGGAAAUCUCACCUGUGUCUGGGAUCUAGAAGAAAAGAUUCAGUACCUUUGAAAGGGUCACUAAAACCCAGACGACGGCUUCGGUUGCACAUAUAAAGUGCAGUCAGGUAGUAACUACGGGUGGAUUACUUUAGGAAGUAGGUGUUCCUCCAGCCUCCAUCCAGAGGAUAAUUGAAAUGCAAGUCAAGCUCUUAUCCACAGGCAACACCAAGGGAGGGGAUCCCCCCCGCCACCGCCCCAGUCACACCAUUUCAAUGUCUUACCGGUGGGUAGGAUUAAGAAAGUUAACCUAAGGGAUGCCUGUGUCUUUCAUGGGACCACUUACCCAGCACCGGGAGAGGUGAGUUCACUGCACUGCUCCCCUUUUGCAAUGGUUAUAGUUUGCUCUCUAACAAUUUCAAUAUGGCAUUUCCAAAAAAGUUUGAAAAUACCACUCAACAUAGUCUUAUCACUCUUCUCUUUUAAAACUUUUUUCCUUU
rnacentral:lncRNA from 1 species